UACAGAGGUCUCAAGCGUUGUUCGGAUUCAUUGGGCGUAAAGGGCGCGUUAGGGCUGCGGGGCAAGUCGGGUGGUGAAAUCUCAGAGCUCAACUCUGAAACUGCACUCGAUACUGCUUUGCUCGAGGACUGGAGAGGAGAUUGGAAUUCACGGUGUAGCAGUGAAAUGCGUAGAUAUCGUGAGGAAGACCAGUGGCGAAGGCGGAUCUCUGGACAGUUCCUGACGCUGAGGCGCGAAGGCCAGGGGAGCAAACGGG
rnacentral:rRNA from 1 species